CCUACGGGAGGCAGCAGUGGGGAAUAUUGGGCAAUGGGCGCAAGCCUGACCCAGCAACGCCGCGUGAAGGAAGAAGGCUUUCGGGUUGUAAACUUCUUUUGUCAGGGACGAAGCAGGUGACGGUACCUGACGCAUAAGCCACGGCUAACUACGUGCCAGCAGCCGCGGUAAUCCGUAGGUGGCAAGCGUUAUCCGGAUUUACUGGGUGUAAAGGGCGUGUAGGCGGGACUGCAAGUCAGAUGUGAAAACCACGGGCUCAACCUGUGGCCUGCAUUUGAAACUGUAGUUCUUGAGUACUGGAGAGGCAGACGGAAUUCCUGGUGUAGCGGUGAAAUGCGUAGAGAUCAGGAGGAACACCAGUGGCGAAGGCGGUCUGCUGGACAGCAACUGACGCUGAGGCGCGAAAGCGUGGGGAGCAAACAGGAUUAGAUACCCCAGUAGUC
rnacentral:rRNA from 1 species